AAGCUCGUAGUUGAAUUUCGGGAUCUGUUGGUCGGUCGUGCCUCGGUACGUACUGGUCAAAUUGAUUCCUACCCACGAUGUCAUUAAUUUGGUGUCGUGGGGAAUCAGGACUGUUACUUUGAAAAAAUUAGAGUGUUUAAAGCAGGCUCGCGCUUGAAUACAUUAGCAUGGAAUAAUGAAAUAGGACGUUUGAUUCUAUUUUGUUGGUUUCUAGGAUCGACGUAAUGAUUAAUAGGGAUAGUUGGG
rnacentral:rRNA from 1 species